CCGGAAUGCAAGACCUACCAAAGCCCGCUGGCGAAGUCAGCGAAAAGCUAUUCGGCUGCAGCUUUCGGAGACCUACGGUGCCAGUUGCGAAUCGCAAAAACUUCUUCGUGUGUAUCCACUGGUACCAAAUCGCUGUGUCCAUAGAAUAGGCGACCACAAGCACUGAAGAUUCCGUGUCACUUUCUUCUCGUCUGUCCUGUCCAACAGCCUGUACUCGGAGAAAAAUAAAGCCUCUUUUACUUACGCGG